rnacentral:rRNA from 1 species
UACGUAGGGUGCGAGCGUUAAUCGGAAUUACUGGGCGUAAAGGGCCAGUAGGCGGCCAACUAAGUCACACGUGAAAUCCCCAGGCUUAACCUGGGAACUGCGUGUGAUACUGGAUGGCUUGAAUUCGGGAGAGGGAUGCAGAAUUCCAGGUGUAGCGGUGAAAUGCGUAGAUAUCUGGAGGAAUACCGGUGGCGAAGGCGGCAUCCUGGACCGACAUUGACGCUGAACGGCGAAAGCUAGGGGAGCAAACGGG